AAAUAAUUCAUAGAUUUAAACGAUAAUCAUGAUGGAAAUAAGCUGAUUAACCCAAGUUAAUGUAGAAAAAGAGAAACAAAAAAAAACCAAUAAAAUUAAUAAAUUAACCAAAUUGGUGGAAAGAAAAAUUCUAAUUACGAUUAACCUUUGACAAAAUUUUCUAUUCUUUUUUCCUAUUAUCUUAUAAAUCUCAAUAGAUGGCGAUCUUUGUUUUCGAUCUUUUCUCAUAUGUUGAAUUGAUUGUUUAUUAACAUGUUUUCUUUUUUUUUUAAUUAAUUGAUUAAUAUUGGAAUUUGAAUCAACUUAUUUGUGAAAAAGUUCGUAUACAAGUGUUGGUAGAACAACUUGACACCAAGGGCACUUCGAGAUUUUUGUAAUCCAUGAUCCUUUCCCUCCUUUUUUUCCCCUCUCCCUUGUACGGUUGUCACUACCGGAAACGAUGAAUUUUAAUUCAUCGAAGCCUCCCCUGAGGCCGCUGUUGAAGCUUAAAUAAACUUGAA